rnacentral:lncRNA from 1 species
CUCCCAUCCUCUUAUAUUCCUCAGCGAGAUCAAUGAGCUGCCAGCCUUGUAGUCGUUCUGAAUCAUUUUGUUUGGGAUUAUAAGAAAAUGCAUAGAGAUCUUCAUAUUUUGCUUGUUUUGACAGUUGUAGCAAAGAGUUGUAAAUAUCAUGGCAAUCUCUUUCUCUGGGAACAAUGAAAUGCACAGUUCUGAAGUUCUUGCACUGUAUCACAAGGGGGCAUCCAGAAG